AAAACAAUUUUUGAAGAACAGUUUCUGUACUUCAUUGGUAUGUAGAGACUUCCAGAACCUAGUUCUGAAAUUUUGGACCGAGCUUUCGGGC
rnacentral:misc_RNA from 1 species